rnacentral:rRNA from 1 species
AACGAACGCUGGCGGCGUGCCUAAUACAUGCAAGUCGAGCGCAGGAAACCAGAUGACCCCUUCGGGGUGAUUCUGGUGGAAUGAGCGGCGGACGGGUGAGUAACACGUGGGCAACCUGCCUGUAAGACUGGGAUAACUUCGGGAAACCGGAGCUAAUACCGGAUAGUAUUUCCUUUCUCCUGAUUGGAAAUGGAAAGACGGUUUCGGCUGUCACUUACAGAUGGGCCCGCGGUGCGUUAGCUAGUUGGUGGGGUAAUGGCCCACCAAGGCGACGAUGCAUAGCCGACCUGAGAGGGUGAUCGGCCACACUGGGACUGAGACACGGCCCAGACUCCUACGGGAGGCAGCAGUAGGGAAUCUUCCGCAAUGGACGAAAGUCUGACGGAGCAACGCCGCGUGAGCGAUGAAGGCCUUCGGGUCGUAAAGCUCUGUUGUUAGGGAAGAACAAGUACGAGAGUAACUGCUCGUACCUUGACGGUACCUAACCAGAAAGCCCCGGCUAACUACGUGCCAGCAGCCGCAGUAA